AAAAGGAAACCAGAGCCAAACUGACACGUGGAAAAAGUUUGACUCUGAUGUAAAACUCUAAUCCCUCCCAGCUGUAGAAAAAAGCUUUCAGCGGUACAACUCACGGGCUGGGCGGUAUCAGGGAACUUCUCUUCAGCUCCUGAUGCCUAGGACUCUCAGUGUACUCCAGCACCGUGUAACUCUCCGGUUGUCUUUGCACGAACAUCCCUGCCCAGUGAUCCCACCGGAGCCCUAGGUCCAUAACGUGUGCCCCUGCAAGUUGUCCCAUUUGGUCCACCUUGCCUCACGGAACUGCCGCAGGUUCCCGCUUGUAUCUAAAGUCCUUGUUUUAUUUAUGAAUGUAUUUAUUUAGUCCUCGAACCGUCCCUUCUUAAAAUACUGUCUUGUUCCUAAUAUAUUCCUCUGUUUCCCUAUCUGGACUGUGCUCUGUGUUAGUGGAAUAGCCCCACUGAAUGGACUCUGUGGGGUCCAAGCAUAGCCAGAUGGGCUACAAGAGUGACGUGGAAUUCAUACUGCAAGAUGAACAGCCCCUUCUAAAGUGCCUACCUCAAAUGGAGCGAGUAAAGAGAGCUAGCGGUGACCCUUACUGGUCCAGACUAGACUCCCGGGUGUGGACUGUAACCCUGUUGCUGGGAACAUGUCUUCUGUACUGUGCCCGUGCCAGCAUGCCAAUCUGUGCGGUUACUAUGAGCGAACAUUUUGGAUGGAACAAGCAGCAGUCUGGCAUUGUCCUAAGCAGUUUCUUCUGGGGAUAUUGUGUCACUCAAGUUGUGGGAGGACACCUCAGUGACAAGGUUGGUGGGGAGAAAGUCAUACUCCUCUCAGCUGUAACCUGGGGUUUCACCACAGUGGCUACUCCCCUUGCUGCUCAUUUUACAUCACUACCUCUGCUGCUGGUCAGCUUGCUCCGAUUCUUGAUGGGACUUCUGCAGGGUGUACACUUUCCAGCCCUGACCAGUCUGUUGUCACGGCGGGUUCGUGAAAGCGAACGUGCUUUUACCUGCAGUGCUGUUGGCUGCGGUUCUCAGUUUGGGACACUAUUAAUGGGAGGUGUAGGGUCUCUGCUGCUUGAAGUUUAUGGCUGGGAGAGUGUGUUUUACUUUGCUGGCUUCCUUACUUUGCUGUGGGGCUACUGCCUUAGCACCUACCUGCUGAAGGAGAGUGAGAGGCUGCUGACAUUUGACGAUCUGGCUAAAGGAUUCUCACUUUCUGGACAAUCCAAUGUCAACUGGAAGAGACUCUUCAAAAAAGCACCUGUGUGGGCUGUGAUCAUCGCACAGCUAAGUGUUGCCAGCACUUCGUUCACUCUUUUCUCUUGGAUGCCAACAUUUUUCAAAGAAAGUUUCCCAGAUUCCAAGGGAUGGGUAUUUAAUGUUGUCCCGUGGUUGGUUGCAAUCCCGACAGCAGUUCUCAGCGGUCUUUUGUCUGAUUACCUCAUUAAACUAGGUUACAAAACCAUCUGGGUCCGUAAACUAAUGCAGAUCAUUGGAAUGGGAGCUUCCAGCAUUUUUAUUUUCUGUGUUAGUAAAACAACCAGUUAUUGGCGAGCUGUCUCUUUUGCCUCAGUUGCUGUUGGCUUGCAAACUUUCAAUCACAGUGGUAUAACGGUUAAUGUACAAGAUCUGGCACCAUCCUGCGCUGGUUUCCUUUUUGGUGUGGCUAAUACAGGAGGGGCUAUGCUUGGUGUAGUUUGGGUUUACCUGUCUGGUUACCUAAUUGAAACCACUGGAUCCUGGAGUCCAAUGUUUCACCUUGUGGUCGCUGUGAACAUCAUAGGUUUAAUUGUCUUCUUGGAGUUUGCAAAAUCAGAGCGAAUGGACAUAGAUACGAUACACAUUUAGAUGGGCCAAGAAUAUUGUCAUGUAGGGAUUCUGUACCUGCUGUGGCUGAGCCAUAUGCUAAAGAGAAGGUGGUACAAGUAGCAAUUGUACUGCUUACUACUUACAACUGGAAUGGACAUGAUAACACUUAACAGAGGUAAACUGUUGGUAUCUGGACACCAACAAGCACAGAUGCAGCUUUCUCCAAAGAGAUUAAAGCUUUAACCCUUCAGCAGCUAUUAGCUUGAAGUUUAAGGAAGUAGCAAGAAGAAAAUACUAAUUUCAUGUCAAUGGAUAUCAAAGACAUAAUCACAGAACCAGUUUUUUUUAUACAAAACCGGUUACUACCUUCUAUUAAGGAACAUAAGGAACAGGUCCUCGCAAAGGCCAAAAUGCUACAACUAUUUCUUUAGCUUCUUGGCUACAGCUCUUGAUCCGCAAGGCUUACUUGGAGGUUUUGGUUUUGCAUCGUAUAGAACACUGUAUUCAAAAGACUGUUGCAAUAUACUCUUAUUGUCAAAUAUUUUCAAUUGUUAGACAUUUUACCUUUUAAUAUUAUAAUCUAGCCCAAGUCCUCCAGAAGAGACCAGUAAACUGCCAAUAAGUGUGAUCGUAUGUACAGAUCAGAAUCCCCCAAUAUGACCACCAGCACAUGUGCACUGCCUCUGAUACAUCACCAUAAUGCUCAUGUAGUUCAAGACAGGGUGUUACUGUGAAUGAGUAGGCUGGAUGAAGGGCCGAGCAAAGUAGCAGUAGCUUUGUUUCCAAAUCAGCCUGCAUUCUUCAAUCACUGUAACUGCAUCGUUUGACUUGUAAAGAUUGCCGUGUUAUUCUCUUAUUAAUAUAAAAGAAAUUUCGAUUGGAAUUUAUUAAACAUAAAGAUUAAAGAUAACACAAAUUAUUUGUAAUCAAUUUUUUUAUUUAUGAUGUAUACAUAAAAAAUAAGCAAAAUCACAAUAUAGCACAAAAUACACGACAAUCUGUCAAUGAGCUUUCCAUGGCUCUGCUGAUUGUAGCACUUUGUUGAAACAAAUAAAUGGAGCGGCUGUCAAUCUCCUUAUAUAGAAUCCUCCCAACUUAAUAUGUCACUGUAAAUGACAUUCACAAUGUUCUGCCUAAACUACCUAUGUAGCUUUUGUCUAGAACGCCCCUUCCCCAUGAGUUGUUAUUCUGCAAAAUAAGGCUGAAAAGGCAGUACAUUUCAAUUGUCUUUUGAUCUAAUAGUGCCAGACUACCUAUUUUAUGGAGGGCGGAUCAGUCACUGCAGCCUGGAACUAUUUUACAUUAUAAACCGUAUGUUUUUAAUAUUUAUUUUGCAAAAACGGGACAGUUAUAUAAAGAGGUUGGAACAUUUACAUGUGUGUGUUUUAUGGCUCUUAUUUUCUAUACCUUUUAGUGGCCAGGAGUUAAAUCCCAGGAGUAAUGGCCCUGUUACUCCAUAAAAUAAAUUUUAAUUUAUUAGGUAAGGAUAAAUUUUGUUUCGGAAAAGAUGCAGGGGAAGCGGUGUCGCUCCAGUCCGAGAGUAGGAGACAGGAACCAAGAGCCAAUCCGAGCAGUACUCCAAAUUUCUGGAUAGCGCAAACGUGCGCCGUAUGCAGCAGCGUGGUGCCAACCACAAGAUGGCCGAGCCAACCAGGACAAAGUCAAAGGAAAAAAAGCCUAUGAUUAAGUGCCGCAUGGCACAAAACAUGUAAGGUCUCCUCCUCCUCCAACCAUGUUUUGCAUCACGAGUGUUGCUUUUUAAAUUGAUGGAAUAAAGGAUUGUUUUUUUUACCCUGAAGUUUUGUGCCGUCUGCUCUUUUUUUUUUUUUUCCUUAUAAAUUUUGUUUUCCAUGCCCUUACUUUCCCAAAUAUUUUAAGAUUCAAAAGUUCUUCCUACAAUCUUGUAUAUCAACUAUGAUAACUUGAAAGAAUUUUUUUUUUCUCCAGAAAAAAACCCAUACCAUCGGAGCCUGUAUUUGUCAGCAUUACAAAACUGUGUAUGUAAUAUGAUAUCAUAAUAAAAUUAUUAAAAUGCCAAAA